rnacentral:rRNA from 1 species
AUCCGGUGCUUGCACCGGGGAUUAGUGGCGAACGGGUGAGUAACACGUGAGUAACCUGCCCUUGACUCUGGGAUAAGCCUGGGAAACUGGGUCUAAUACCGGAUAUGACUCCUCAUCGCAUGGUGGGGGGUGGAAAGCUUUUGCGGUUUUGGAUGGACUCGCGGCCUAUCAGCUUGUUGGUGAGGUAAUGGCUCACCAAGGCGACGACGGGUAGCCGGCCUGAGAGGGUGACCGGCCACACUGGGACUGAGACACGGCCCAGACUCCUACGGGAGGCAGCAGUGGGGAAUAUUGCACAAUGGGCGAAAGCCUGAUGCAGCGACGCCGCGUGAGGGAUGACGGCCCUCGGGUUGUAAACCUCUUUCAGUAGGGAAGAAGCGAAAGUGACGGUACCUGCAGAAGAAGCGCCGGCUAACUACGUGCCAGCAGCCGCGGUAAUACGUAGGGCGCAAGCGUUAUCCGGAAUUAUUGGGCGUAAAGAGCUCGUAGGCGGUUUGUCGCGUCUGCCGUGAAAGUCCGGGGCUCAACUCCGGAUCUGCGGUGGGUACGGGCAGACUAGAGUGAUGUAGGGGAGACUGGAAUUCCUGGUGUAGCGGUGAAAUGCGCAGAUAUCAGGAGGAACACCGAUGGCGAAGGCAGGUCUCUGGGCAUUAACUGACGCUGAGGAGCGAAAGCAUGGGGAGCGAACAGGAUUAGAUACCCUGGUAGUCCAUGCCGUAAACGUUGGGCACUAGGUGUGGGGGACAUUCCACGUUUUCCGCGCCGUAGCUAACGCAUUAAGUGCCCCGCCUGGGGAGUAC